rnacentral:misc_RNA from 1 species
GAUGAAGAACGCAGCGAAAUGCGAUACUUGGUGUGAAUUGCAGAAUCCCGUGAACCAUCGAGUCUUUGAACGCAAGUUGCGCCCGAAGCCAUCAGGUUGAGGGCACGUCUGCCUGGGCGUCACAUAUCGUUGCCCAAUGCCUAUUGCAGUGCAAUAGGAAUUUCUAGGGCGAAUGAUGGCUUCCCGUGAGCGUUGUUGCCUCGCGGUUGGUUGAAAAUCGAGUCCUUGGUAGGGUGUGCCAUGGUAGAUGGUGGUCGAGUUAGAACGAUACCGAUCAUGUGCAUGCUCCCCAAAAUAUGGCCUCUAUGACCCACACGCUUCUUUUGACGCUCAUGACGAGACCUCAGGUCAGGCGGGGCUACCCGCUGAAUUUAAGCAUAUCAAUAAGCGAGGA